UCCCAGACUCCUACGGGAGGCAGCAGUGGGGAAUAUUGGGCAAUGGGCGCAAGCCUGACCCAGCAACGCCGCGUGAAGGAAGAAGGCUUUCGGGUUGUAAACUUCUUUUAAGAGGGAAGAGUAGAAGACGGUACCUCUUGAAUAAGCCACAGCUAACUACGUGCCAGCAGCCGCGGUAAUACGUAGGUGGCAAGCGUUGUCCGGAUUUACUGGGUGUAAAGGGGGCGCAGACGGCGAUGCAAGCCAGGAGUGAAAGCCCGGGGCCCAACCCCGGGACUGCUCUUGGAACUGCGUGGCUGGAGUGCAGGAGGGGCAGGCGGAAUUCCUGGUGUAGCGGUGAAAUGCGCAGAUAUCAGGAGGAACACCGGUGGCGAAGGCGGCCUGCUGGACUGCAACUGACGUUGAGGCCCGAAAGCGUGGGGAGCAAACAGGAUUAGAUACCCCGGUA
rnacentral:rRNA from 1 species